AACGAACGCUGGCGGCGUGGAUAAGACAUGCAAGUCGAACGGGGGCUGUAGCAAUACAGCUUCAGUGGCGAACGGGUGCGUAACACGUGAACAAUCUGCCGGGAAGAUGGGAAUAGCCCAGGGAAACUUGGAUUAAUGCCCUGUGUGGCCGAAGGUGGCAUCACCUGAAGGCUGAAGGCGCUGUACGGCGCCGCGUCCUGGUGAGUUCGCGGCCUCUCAGCUAGUUGGCGGGGUAACGGCCCACCAAGGCGAUGACGGGUAGCUGGUCUGAGAGGAUGACCAGCCACACUGGAACUGAGACACGGUCCAGACACCUACGGGUGGCAGCAGUCGAGAAUCAUUCACAAUGGGCGAAAGCCUGAUGGUGUGACGCCGCGUGGAGGAUGAAGGUCUUCGGAUUGUAAACUCCUGUCAAGUGGGGGUAAGGCACUGCGAGGAAAUGCGUGUGUGCUUGAGAGUACCACUAGAGGAAGGGACGGCUAACUUCGUGCCAGCAGCCGCAGUAACAC
rnacentral:rRNA from 1 species